UGGGGAAUCUUGCGCAAUGGGCGAAAGCCUGACGCAGCAACGCCGCGUGAGGGAAGAAGGCCUUCGGGUUGUAAACCUCUUUCAGUAGGGACGAAGCUUCCAGGGUGAAUAGCCCUGUGGAGUGACGGUACCUACAGAAGAAGGUCCGGCUAACUACGUGCCAGCAGCCGCGGUAAUACGUAGGGACCAAGCGUUGUCCGGAAUCAUUGGGCGUAAAGCGCGUGUAGGCGGUCUGGAAAGUCUGGUGUGAAAACUUGAGGCUCAACCUCAAGCUGUCGCUGGAUACUGUCAGACUUGAGUCCGGAAGAGGAGUGUGGAAUUCCUGGUGUAGCGGUGGAAUGCGCAGAUAUCAGGAGGAACACCUAUGGCGAAGGCAGCACUCUGGUACGUGACUGACGCUGAGACGCGAAAGCGUGGGGAGCAAACAGG
rnacentral:rRNA from 1 species